UUAGAAGUACGUGGAUAUGUUCCCAGACACCCAAACUUCGGAGUUCCUAGGAAGGUUAGAUUCUAAAAGUGGUGUAACCAUUCCAAUAAAAAGAUCUCGAAGGAAACACUAACCCCCUCUUCACAUCAGAGCUCUUGAGGUUCCGAAGAGGUGGACAUUUUUGCAUCUAGAAGGCUCUUUCAGAGGAAUGUGAGCAAGGCCAGAUGUUUUGUCCUGUUAUGUUAAGUCAUCUUGACAUACUGCCAUGAAAUGGAAAUAACUGCUAGUUUUUACUUUGCUCCGUAUCUUUAUUAAAAGCACUAGCAGAGACUUCACAGUACACACCACUGCUGACCCCAGAAAUGACCCACAGGAACUACUGGCGAAAGGAGCGAAAAGGUUGGCAUCAGAACUGAAGAUCAGGGACCAGCCAACCUCUUUAAAUGUGAUAAGUCAUCAAAGGGGAGUGAGGGUUAAAAUGUAAUGUGGAACACCAUCACAGACUGCAAGGCCAGUGUUGUCUGACGUCCUGCGUGACAGAAACAAGAGAGCAACCUCCAGGAGCCUGUGCACCAAGCCUGCAUUUAUCUUCAUUCUGUGGAAGGGAAUCACAGUAGCUAGUGGCAGCAAUCAAAGGGAAACUGCAGGAACAUAUCACCAGACUAAACACAAAGAAAUGAAUCCCUGGCUAUCCCUUCCCAUCUGAAGUUUUUUACUGCAGCCAGUGAAGACAACCUUUCAUCUCUCCAGUGUGAAGCUGUAUAUCCAGCGUACGUCAUGGCACCUUUUUGGAGGGAACACUAGCACAAGAGGAAAACUUGAGCCUGACUCACAAGAGGGGAACUUAGUUUUAAUCUGUGCCUUGGGCAAACAUGAAUGACGUGGUUAUUUCCUUCUGCUGCCUUAUUCGACAUUACCAAAGAUGUUGAACAGUAUGCAAUUAUGAUGAUUUGUAUUGGUACUACUUGAUCACUGCAACAACAGUACAAUUUCACCUCUAGAACCAAAUAAAAAUUGGCAACACUCUGAUGCUGGUGAACUUGUCUCUGCAAAUAGCAUGGCACAUCUGCUCCUCGUGUGUGUUUUAAGGUCUUCUCUUUCAGAGAGCACACUAGGAGUUGGCAAAGAAGAAGAUGAGGCCAGUGGUGUCUUGUCAUGAACAACAGUCCUAUUGUUCCAGAAAACACUGAGCCCACUCUGGUCAUAGAAAGCAGACAGAAUGAUUUUCAAGUCUGUGAAUUAUUUCUCCUUAUUUUAGAGUCAUUAAUGGAAACCUCUUCUUGCAGCUAAUAUCUGUUUUUAUGCCUGAACGUAUCUUUGUUGAAUUGUUCUUUCUGUGUGUUGCAAUAAGCAAGAUCUUUCUGCUUCUGGAGUGCGUGAAUCAUUAUAGUUAUCACUAAUAUGUGCUGAAGUUGAACACUAUUUUGUUAUUUUCCUCAGUUCUCAUUUCUGGUGGAGCUGUGCUUGGCUUCAAGUAUAGCUCAGCUUCCAACCCUCACUCCUCGUAAAUGGAAAGGAACCUUAGAUACGGAUCCAGAUAUGAAUGUGUUCCUCGGCUUUUGCCCAUCCCAGUUUCCCUCAUGAAAAAGCAUCUUCAGAGCUUACUGUUGGUUGAUGUCUGUGAUUUUUGGCUGCAAUCAACAUUUUUUAUUCCUUUCUGGAAUAAGUGUCUGACAGUUAAGAAAAAUGAGGCCUCUCUCUGCAGUGUGUCUAAGAGAGUGCUCUUCUGGGCUUUCUUAUUUGUAAAAGACUUUCCUAGUCAGGAUGGAUCGCUGUGGGAACAAGGGAAGAGUUUAACACUGUUGAAGUUGGUGUUCCCCUGCCAAGUUUCUUCACAGAAGCUAUUUUUACUCUCAGUGGCUCUGGUGGUAUCAUUUUGGUGACUGUAAAGGCUGAAAGACCAGAAGAUUUGAGGUCUGGCAAUUUUAUGCCACUGUACUGUGUACUAAUUCUUGAUGAAUCUCUGUAUCUCCAUUGGUAUUUGCUAUAUUAUUCUGCUCAUUUUCUGCCUUGUUCUCUUUUAAUGGGAUACUGGUCCAAGGUCUUUCAUCUUGCAUUUCUGUCUUUCUGCAGGGUAAUUGCAGACUGACCACGGAGUAGAAACAGUAGCUGACCUACAGUAAAUAUCAGCUGAGGAAAUGGGUUGAUGGGAACCCCAUGAAGUUCAGCAAAGGCAAAUACCACACUCUCUGUCAGAGGUGAGACAGGGAUGUCUGUGCAGCAGGACAGAAUGAGCACUGCCGUGGACAGAAAGCCCCAAGGCAUGAAGGACCAGAGGCCUGGUUCUUCCUGGGGUGCACAACAACAGGAUGUGGGGACAGCUUGCAAAUUUUGUCCUGGGAUCUGGCGUGACUCAGGAACAGGUUGCCAGAGAGGCCAUGGGACCCCCAUCUGCUGGCCCGGUUUUUGUGGGGUGGGUCCUAGACCACCUGAAAUCCAGUCUGACCCAAUCCAUAGCUACUGGGUAAAGCACCAACAGGACUCACUGCUGUCACUGGUGGUUGCUUCUGCAAUUUUUACCUCAGGCACUUUUCUAAUAUCUUUACUGAAAUUAAAUAUCUUCAAAUACCUUUCAUUUGGAAGCCUUUAACUUAGUGAUAAUUUUCUUGACUUUAACAGCAGUGAGAGAAUGGCUUUUUUUUUUUUUUUCCCAAGGAAUCACCUCUUUAGUUACAGAUGAAAUGCUUAUGUGCUCAUGAAAUGUUCUUGCUCAAAGUUCUUGCAUUGCUGCUGCCAGGCACCAGCCCUGUGGUGAUCCUGUGCUCACAUGGCUUCCUGGUUCCUUCCCUGAGGCUCCCUCCAGUACUAACAGUACUAACAGCAAUAACUGCCAUAAAGCUCACUGUGGGGUCACGGCUGGGAUAAUUUGGCAUCCUGUGGGUAGUCUGAAAGAUGGAUUCCUGAUUGUGAGAAUGGCUUCUCCAGUGUCUGAGAAGCAUCCUUUGUGUUAAUCGACAGGUCCCUCGUGAGGAAUACUAGUGUAGAAAGAAACAGAGGGGAAAACGUGAACAAUGGACCUCUCCUACCCUAAUUGCAAGUACAGCAAGUAUGUCAAGUGUGCAUUUGAGAGACAGAAGACUGCUUUGUAAACAUGAGCAGUGCUCAUGAAACAGACAGAUGAUAGCUGAGAGUCAAUCUGUAGCUAUAUCCAUCUUGAAGAAACCUUAUCUGAUGAAGCGAACCAGCAUAGCCUGUAUCUGUAAUUCUUGAUCAAUAUAUUUUUGUUUUAUCUUCUGCUGAAUGGCCUUGCUGCAUUUUAUAUGAAAUUUGAUUGUAUAAACGGCUUCCACAUUUUGGAAACGCUUCCAGUUUGGGAAUAUAAGUGGAGAAAUGGUUGAUGUCUGGAUUUCUCUCAGAUUAAGUGAAAAGCACCUUCUGAAGUACUGAACUGCUGCAAUCACACCUGGUUUGGCCCUGCCCUAAAACAAGCUUUGGGGUAUGAGAGAGUGCUGAAGUCUACCUGGAGUUCUUAUAGGUUGGUCUCUAGAGGCAGAAUAUCAGACACUUUCUGAAAUUUCAUAGUUUAGGAUUUAGGUGUGUUUUUCCUUCUGAGCAUAAGCAAUUUACUGAAUAUGGUCAGCGUUUUCUUUAUUGGCGUUGUAGAGUGAAGGAUAACUGCUUUGCAAAUCAACUAAAUUAAAACUACUGUAUUAGGAAUACUGCCUUUAAGCAUAAUAACUGUGUAACACAAACUUGGCAGAAAGAUGUUUAAUUUACAGGAAAAAAAGUGAACAGGUUAAAGAAUAUUCAGAUAAGUUAGGUAGAUUCAAGUCAGCAGGGCCUGAUGAAAUUCACCCCAGAGUACUUCAGGAACUAUCUGAAGUGAUCUCUGAACUAUUAGCAGUUAUCUCUGAGAGCUCAUGGAGGAUGGGUGAGGUCCUGGAGGACAGGAGAAAAGCAAACACUGUACCUAUCUUUAAAAAGGGGAAACAGGAAGACCUAGGGAAUUUCAGGCCAGUCAGGUUGACUUUGAUACUGAGAAAAAUGCAAGAGCAAAUUAUUGAACAAUCAAUUUGUAAACACCUAGAGGAAAAUAAGGUGAUAAGAGCCAGCAUGGGUUUGUCAAGAACAAAUCACAUCAAAGCAAUCUAAUUUCCUUCUUUGACAGUGUAACUGGCCCAGUGGAUAAGAGGGAAGCAGCAGAUGUGAUAGAUCUUGACUUCAGUGAGGGCUUUGACACACAUCCACCUGACAUUUUCAUAAGUAAGUCAGAGAAAUAUGCUUUAGAUGAAGUUAUUAUGUGAUGAGUGCAAAACUGUUUGAAAAAUUGGACUUAUUGGUAAAGCAAUUAUCAAUGUUUUGUUGGCAAACUGGGAAAACUGUGGUAUCUCAUCAAAUAAGAUAUCACAGAGGUCUGCCUUAGGUCCAGUAUUAUUCAAUGUUUACAUCUUCGAUGAUGGAAGAUAUAGAAAACUUUUAAAAAUUGCAGGUGAUACUGAACUAGAAGGGCUGCAAACAUUUUAGAGAACAGGAUUUGAAUACAAAAUAAUCUUGAUAAAUUGAAGAAAGAGUCUGAAGCCAAUAAGAUGAAAUUCAAUAUGAACAAGUGUAAGGUAUCACUUCUGAGGAAGGAAACAUCAAAUACACAAAUAUGAAAUGGAAAACAAGAAGUUUGGAAGCAGUUCACAUAAAAGAAGUUUAGCACAUUGCACACAAAAAAAAUAUGUAAUUCAGAAAUACAAAGUUGUGUGAUGGGAUGAAUUAAUGGUUAUGUUGUGAGUAACUGGGAAGCAUCUAUUUCAUUCUGCUCUGGAUAACGAGGCCCAACCUGGGAAUAUUAUGUCUGUGUCCAGUGGUGACAUCACAUUAUGGUAGAUAAUUUUGAAAUCUUUUUCAUUUUGAAAGGAGAAAGAGCAGUGCUUAGAAAGCAGGAAAAGCUGAAAUAAAUGACUCCUUUUGUUUUGGAAAAAAAAAAAAAAUAGGCAUAAUGUAGAUCAGCGAUACAAAAAAAUGUUACUAAAAAUGUGAGAGAGAAAAGGGCACUUACCUGUUCUCCCUCAGUAAAAACGUUGUGAAAAGAAACGGAUAGGCAAAGCUGAAGCCUGAGAUACUCAGAUUAGGUACAAUUCAGAUAGAUUUCUCUGGUUAUGAGAAUGGCACAGCACUGGAACAAGGUUUCUAAAAUACUCCAGAAUCCUUGCUUCAAAUCCUUAAAAUGGGUCAGACAGACAUCUGUCAGUGAUGUGGAACAGAUGUCCUCUUGAGAUCGCUUCUACUUUCACAUUUCUACAAUAAUUCGUACACCUCAGUCAAGAGGAAAACCCACGUGAACCAAAUAAGCAAGAAUUGCUCGCAUGCACAUACAAACAUACAUUUCCUACCAAACCCCCAACCUUUCCCUGAAAAUCUCUUUUCCUAUCAAACAUUUCUGUGCACUUAUCAAACUGAUGUUGUUUCUUCUAGUCCUUUUCACCUGCACGUCCCCCAAAACAGAGAAAAGAGUCACUCAUCACUUCAUUUCUGUAUUAAAGAUUAUGGAGAAAGGCAGAUCUGACGUCUAUCCAAACAACUAAUCCAGUAUGUUGCUUUCUGUGGGCUGACCCUACUAAUGUAUAGAAGCAAGCCUCCGAAGCCAUAAAAGCCUUUUUUGAAACUAUCUGUUGCAAGCUGCCAUAAGAAGUGCUUUGUUCUUUUUCUCUCUGUAUUUUUGAUGAAGCUACAGUUUGAAAAUGACACUUUAUAAAUAUGCCUGCUCCCCUUUAAUGAUAAACUUGGGACAAACUGGAUGAUAUUUUCAUGAGGUUUUAUUGGCAUGAUUUUGAACUGUUUUGUUAUUUAUGGGAGCAUCCUAGACAGACUGCAGCAAACACUCAGCAUCUUCUUGUUAUGUUUACUGUGUGAGCCACAUGCAUCUCAAAAUGUAGUCUUGAAAUAUAUAGUGAGAAAAGGGAGCUUCUUUUAGGGCUGCAGGGCCAGAAAUCUUAGUCAUCAAGUGCUGAUUUGUGUGAAGAUUACAACAGGAAAAAACAGUGUUUUAAAUGACUGAUCUAAACAAGGUACCUGAAAUUUAACUGCAGGGUUUGCACACUGCACUGCAGUGCAUGCGUGCUACCUCAAAAUGACACUCAGAGCAGAAUGUCUUCUCCUGCAUGUGCUUGCCUUUGUGAUCAUACCUGCACGAUAACAAAUUCAGGAAACCUUUUCUUAAAGGUUAUGAGGCUGCGGCUGCAAGUAAAGAAUUGUUUGUCUUGCUUUGUAUCUGGGAUUAUGCCUGUUCCAUCUCCAUGAAACCAAGGAUGUUUAAUUUUGCAUGAAUGGUGGUGGGGCGAGUGUUAUUUGGUUCCUUGGCUUAGAUUUCCUACUAGGUCCGGAGGCUUAGAAAAAGGAAUAUCCUUACUUGGAGAACAGCCAUCUCCCUUUCCAGGCAAACUGACUGGUAGGUGACAGUCUUUGACAAGGGUCCAGUCUCAGUUCCCUGGAAGUAGGUUAGUCAUGUGAGAAGCUUUUCUGUGCAUUCGAAGACACACAAGAUAGUUCUGCUUGAGCCAGGUUCAUGCACAGUGCUAAGGCUAUAUUCAUGUGGUGCAAUGCUUCUUGGAUACCUAUAUGCCAAGGUUAAUAGUGUAACUGACCUUCCUCUUCUCUAUUUUGCUCUGGCCCUGUUCUUAUUCACGUAUGUCUUUAGCACAUAUGCUUUAGCUUUACCUGAGUAUAACAGUCUCCUAUUACCUCCUGCAACUGAGAACUGGUCAAAACUGAGCAUCCCAGGCUCUAUUAAAAUGUCAGCAAGAUUUUACGCACGAGUUAAGUCCCACUUAAGGAGUAUUUUGAGAUUUCACUGUGCAAUGUAAAAAAAUAAAUUUGCAGUUACUGACCCCUCCAUGCAGUCCACAUAGUAUACUUGAUACUUGGGGUGGUAGGAAGAUACACCAUCACUCACACUCAUUAGGAGGUCCACAGCACAUAACUUUUAAGAGGGAAUUUUGGGGUAGAAGGUUUUGGGAGGUCAUUGGUAAUACUGCCAUUAACUUGCCAAUGAGGAGGUAGGACCAUAUUUAGAGCCACUUUUAGUCCUGCUUUCUGUAAUCUAAUAGGUUUUACAUUUUCAUUAGCUAUCACAAAUGAAAGAUUUGUGGUAGUAUGGAACCAAAAUUUUUUUCCUUAUCACUUGCAAAAGAUGCUAUUAAAGAUAAAGUAAAAUAAAACUUCCUGGAUCUAAAUAUAGGCUGGACUAAAUUGGCAGAUUUCAGUAAGCAUGUCUGCUUAGUACUGGACACGGUGCUGAGUGAAUUUUACAUAAGAGGAAAAAAAGCUAAGUAAAAUGAUAGAAAGCCUUGUCUGAACUGCAGCCGAAAACGGAAUAGUUUUCCCUUCUAUGAUACAGGGUUGUAUCUUUCUAUCUCAGCCAACCAGAGAGAUCUUUUUGGAAUACAUAUACCCCUGUCUGAAACACAUCUCCAGCCUGUUCUGUGCUAAAAAAUUUCAAUCACAGAAAGGAAAAGAAAAAAACAAAAAACAAAAAACAAAACCCAAUAACACUCCCAAACUAGCUCAGUUCCUGAGGUUUCUGCAAAGGAUGUAACCUAGAUUCACAGAAUAAUUCUGGUAGGAAGGUGUAACCUCUAGGAAAUCAUCUGCUCAGGUGUUCCUCACACAACAGAUCUAGCACACCCAUCUCCCAUUAUAGAUACCACAUUGCAGAUAUCCUAAUUUGUAAGGGUGAUGUCAGCUAAGAUCAAAGAUCUAUUCUCAUUUCCAGCAUAGGCCAGAAGAGGUUAAGUCAAUUUAUGAAGUCUCUUAAAUGAUCUCACUGAGGCAGAGUUUCUCAUCUAGUGCCCCUCAUCCUAAACCCUCAGUACUAAUUCUGUGUUAUGCCAAAGAGGAGCACACAGGAGUCUGGAUCUGCGCUGCAGCUGGGACAUAAUGUAUCUCUGCCUAUUUCCAGCGCCUUUCCCAGCUCUUUCCCAAAGCUCUGAGGGGACAGAUGGUCUCUUCUGCCCAUUUAUUUGGUUUCCAUGGUGGAAACAAUUACCGCAGCACAAACAAGAAGGGGACACUCAUCCAGACACUGCAAGACUGUUCAUUAGUAAGGCAGCAUCAAUGUGCAUGUGGCAGCCCAAUUUGUGUCUUGCUUGCCAGUGUGGCUUAACUCAAGUAUAUCCUCUGAACUGACAUCAGUGAGAGCAGACAUUCUGUGUUAAGAGGAACAGCCCACCCGUGAUAAAAAUAUAUUAUUGCGGUGAUAUAUUUUAAUGAGAACUUCAGUGUGACCAGCUAGUGUUGUUUGAAAUAAAUUCUAUUAAUAAAGCAGCUGAAUUUGUGGUAUAGCACUAAAUACAGAGAACUAUAAAGUAGCUACGUGAUGUGGGGUCAUCAGUUUAGUGGUCUGACCCUCAUACCUUAUGCAUGUCCCUUAAUUUCCAUGGAGUCUCACCCUCCUUCUGUAGAAUGAGGUUUAGCUCUCCCUCCUCACACCCCAGUGGAAUGUCACAGGGUGCAACCCUCUGGCACUGAGGAGAUAUCUGACAGUGAGGUCUGUAUUAGCACUUCAGGUAGCACUUCUAUUUAGGGGCCAGCAGACUGACAGCUCCUUGCUGUGUGAUACCAUGGUGCUUUGUCUCCUCGUUUUGGUAUGUGCAGUAUCCUACUUGUGCUACAUCUCAGUGAGCUGGAGAAGUGGUGCAAGUCACAGCACUUUCCUUUUCCAUCUGGCCUGCAGCAAUGGAGGGGUGGAGGGGGUUAGGCUUGCUGUGGUGUGACUGUGCUGCAAUGUAUGAAGUCAAGAACCCCACUGAAGAACUUGAAUAGAGACUUGCAUCAUGUUGGUGAUGUUGCCAAACUUCAUGGUAGAAAUGCUCCAUUUUUGGAAGAUAAACUAUAGAAUACUUUCCACAGGACUGCAAGAAAGCAAGCUUGCUAUGCCUGCAUUCCACGCUUCUCAAUCAACAUCAAUAUCAAACCUCCUCCAGAAUGAAAAGAUUUCACCACUUUUCUUGUUAAAUGUCUUUGUUACGUGUAUUUAGGGUGUGCUAGAUAUUUUCCCUAGUUUAUCAAUGCCUUCAGCCGCUCAGCUCUAAGAAAGGUCAGUAUGGGCUCAUUGCUGAUUCCUUUUAUUUUUUUUCUCUCUGGUGCAUAACACAGGCAGCUAUUCUUGCCAGUCUCUCUCUUUGCCUAAGUACUUAGAAUCCUCCACGGGAACAGGUGAUUAAUGGCAUGUUAAUUGUCUAUGUUUGAGAAUGCACACAGACACACAGAUGCUUACACAGGGAGCUCUUGGUACGUAUGUCUUUCUAAGCAUCAAGUUUUUCCAUACAGAUCUUAUUAUCUGUAACAUAGCCCUUUCUCUCAGUAUUGUAUUUGCACUGGGGUUGAGGCAAUCCCAGUCAUGCACACAGACUGGGAAAAGAACCCAAAGAGAGCAGCUCUGUGGAGAAGAACUUGAGGAUCCUGAUGAAUGGAAGCCUGGACAUGAGCCAGCAGUGCACACUUGCAGCCCCGAAAGCCAACUGUAUCCUAGGCUGCAUCAACGGAGGGAUGACAGCAGGGAGAGGGAGGGGAUUGUCCCCAUCUGCUCUGCUCUCGUGAGGACUCAUCUGCAGUACUGCAUCCAGGCCUGGGGCCCCCAGCAGAAGAAAAACAUGGAGCUGUUGGAGCGGGUCCAGAGAAGAUCAUAAAGAUGAUCAGAGAGCUGGAGCACCUCUCCUGUGAAGAAAGGCUGAGGGAACUUUGCUUGUUCAGCCUGGAGAAGAGAAGGCUCCAGGGAGACUUCAUCAAGGCUUUCCAGUACUUAAAGGGAACUUAUAAACUGAUUUUUUACAUAGCCUGGUGGUGAUAGAACAAGGGGCAGUGGCUUUAAAACAGAUGAGAUUUAAGUUAGAUGUCAGCAGGAAUUUCUUUACUCAGAGGGCAGUGAGGCCCUGGCACAGCUGCUCCGAGAAGCUGUGGUGCCCCAUCCCUGGAGGCACCCGAGGCCUGGUUGGAUGAGGCCCUGGUGGAAGGUAGCCCUGCCCACAGCAUAGGCUGGGACUGCGUGGGCUUUGAGGUUCCUUCCAACUCAAGUAAUUCUAUCACUCUAUGAUUCUAUGAUAUAUUUGUUGUCUGUCUUGACACAUGACUGUAUGAAUACUGUCUUUACUUUCUAAGUCAUGAUUAAUUUAAAAAUUUCUCAGUUUUCU
ensembl:lncRNA